ensembl:snRNA LOC120094860 U6 spliceosomal RNA
GUGCUGUCUUCCACAGCUCAUAUACUAAAAUUGGAACAACACAGAGAUUAGCAUGGCUCCUGUGCAAGGAUGACGGGAAAAUUUAUGAAGCAGUCCAUACUUUU